rnacentral:rRNA from 1 species
UACGGGGGGUGCUAGCGUUGUUCGGAAUCAUUGGGCGUAAAGAGCGUGUAGGCGGCUAGGCAAGUCAGAUGUGAAAUCCCUGGGCUUAACCCAGGACGUGCAUUUGAAACUGCUUGGCUUGAGUAGGGAAGAGGGAAGUGGAAUUCCUGGUGUAGAGGUGAAAUUCGUAGAUAUCAGGAGGAACACCGGUGGCGAAGGCGACUUCCUGGUCCUAUACUGACGCUGAGACGCGAGAGCGUGGGGAGCAAACAGG